rnacentral:rRNA from 1 species
UACGUAGGGGGCUAGCGUUGUCCGGAAUCAUUGGGCGUAAAGCGCGUGUAGGCGGCCCGGUAAGUCCGCUGUGAAAGUCGGGGGCUCAACCCUCGGAUGCCGGUGGAUACUGUCGGGCUUGAGUACGGAAGAGGCGAGUGGAAUUCCUGGUGUAGCGGUGAAAUGCGCAGAUAUCAGGAAGAACACCGAUGGCGAAGGCAGCUCUCUGGGACGGUACUGACGCUGAGACGCGAAAGCGUGGGGAGCGAACAGG